UAGGAUAUGGUGUUUUGGUAGCACGGAGAAUUUUGAAUUCUUAAGUAUAGGUUCAACCCCUAUUGUCCUAG
rnacentral:tRNA from 1 species